rnacentral:rRNA from 1 species
GGGCCCGCACAAGCGGCGGAGCAUGCGGAUUAAUUCGAUGCAACGCGAAGAACCUUACCAAGGCUUGACAUAUAGAGGAAAAGUGCAGAAAUGCACUCCCCGCAAGGUCUCUAUACAGGUGGUGCAUGGUUGUCGUCAGCUCGUGUCGUGAGAUGUUGGGUUAAGUCCCGCAACGAGCGCAACCCUCGUCCUAUGUUGCCAGCACGUAAUGGUGGGAACUCAUGGGAUACUGCCGGGGUCAACUCGGAGGAAGGUGGGGAUGACGUCAAAUCAUCAUGCCCCUUAUGUCUUGGGCUUCACGCAUGCUACAAUGGCCGGUACAGAGGGCUGCAAUACCGUAAGGUGGAGCGAAUCCCAAAAAGCCGGUCUCAGUUCGGAUUGUCGUCUGCAACUCGACGGCAUG